GCGUGCUCCGGGCGUCGGCCUGU
rnacentral:sRNA from 1 species